UAGAGUUUGAUCAUGGCUCAGGAUGAACGCUAGCGACAGGCUUAACACAUGCAAGUCGAGGGGCAGCGGGGAGGUAGCAAUACUUCCGCCGGCGACCGGCGCACGGGUGAGUAACACGUAUGGAACCUGCCCGUAGCAGGGGGAUAAACGGAAGAAAUUCCGUCUAAUACCGCGUAAUAACUCCGAGAGGCAUCUCAUGGAGUUUAAAGGGUAACACCGGCUACGGAUGGCCAUGCGGCGCAUUAGCUAGUUGGCGGGGUAACGGCCCACCAAGGCGACGAUGCGUAGGGGUUCUGAGAGGAAGGUCCCCCACACUGGUACUGAGACACGGACCAGACUCCUACGGGAGGCAGCAGUGAGGAAUAUUGGUCAAUGGGCGCGAGCCUGAACCAGCCAAGUCGCGUGAGGGAAGACGGUCCUAUGGAUUGUAAACCUCUUUUGUCGGGGAGCAAAAGACGCCACGUGUGGCGUUCCGAGAGUACCCGAAGAAAAAGCAUCGGCUAACUCCGUGCCAGCAGCCGCGGUAAUACGGAGGAUGCGAGCGUUAUCCGGAUUUAUUGGGUUUAAAGGGUGCGCAGGCGGAAGAUCAAGUCAGCGGUAAAAUUGAGAGGCUCAACCUCUUCGAGCCGUUGAAACUGGUUUUCUUGAGUGAGCGAGAAGUAUGCGGAAUGCGUGGUGUAGCGGUGAAAUGCAUAGAUAUCACGCAGAACUCCGAUUGCGAAGGCAGCAUACCGGCGCUCAACUGACGCUCAUGCACGAAAGUGUGGGUAUCGAACAGGAUUAGAUACCCUGGUAGUCCACACAGUAAA
rnacentral:rRNA from 1 species